rnacentral:snoRNA from 1 species
AUGGUCGGGGAAGGGCUUGUGUGUUGUUGAGCCUGCCCAGCGGUGGAUGCAGCCAUGUACCAGGCAGCCCAACCUUGACCUAAAGUAAAUUCCAAGAAUCCUUCUGGGGAUUUAAAUUUACAGUGACAGGUGUGAGCGUUCUAGCAGCAGUUUUGAUAUUCAUGUAUGAUACUGCAGUCAGUC